rnacentral:lncRNA from 1 species
AAGCCGCUGAGUUUUGGAGUGGAUGUCAUUCCUGUUAGAUAAAUAGAGCACUCUCCUACUUGUACUACUCUGACUUACAUUCCGACUUCCUACAUCUUCAUCUGUUAACCUGUAAUAAGGAAAGAGGAUACAUCUUGGUGCUGGUCCUGAACUAUCAAACCAUGUAAAGCUCUCCACUAAAUAAUCCAGGGGAACCCCAGCCCUGGUCUUCCCAGAAUCAGAUGUGAGGACAAGGCAAGAACACAGUGUGUUGGCCAGGAGAGCCAGGAUUAAGCAGAUCCAGGCUUGAGGACCAGGACAAGGACCCUCCGUGGGGCAGCUGAGAUUUCUCUACUCAUCACUUCAACUACAACUGUUCCUUGUAGAAAAAAAGCCCAGGACUGAAGGUACUUCCUGCCUCUGGGGCUUCGGGAGAUCCAAUUGGGAGAUCAUUUGCAACAUGUAGGUGACAAUAUCAAGCUCUCAUAGAGGAAGAAAAAAAUACACUCAACAUACAUUUUCUCCAUUCACCAUGGCUGAGUGGCUCUGUGUUCUAAAGUCAAAUGUCAAAAUAUUAAGUGUUGUACCUUUAUCAGCAUAAAACAAGGGGAUGUGGCACCAACAAUUGUUGUCUAUGCUCCAGAAAUUCUGCUUAAGGAAAUGCUACUGAACAAGCCACAAGGAAAAUGG